rnacentral:lncRNA from 10 species
CACUGACAAUGAUCUCACCACUCUCAGAAGCAUAAGAAUGAGCCAUGGAUUCACAGUGGUGUAGCCUGAGGAGGUGAUUUGACGGAAGACAGCAGAAAUCUCAUCACUGACCCAGGAGGUGAAGGAAAUACCCAGUGUGACUCGAUGGAGCCCAAAGACUUUCCUCCCCAGCUCUUCUCCCUCCGCCUCAGCAAUUUCAAGGUCCAGGACCCUGGCCAGCAUGAGAGGAGAGAGUGGAAACUAAGACAUAAAUCAAACUUACAUCAGGAAUACAGUCACCUAUCACCAGGACCUCAGGAUGCCUGGUCAUCCCUCCAAGAACCAUGAGCACUGUUAGAGAAAAGUCACAAAAACAAUUCAACAUUAUUCCAAUUCUUGCUUGCCAUCCUGCAUUUCUUGGCCUGGAGAUUCCCUUACCCUCAAAGUCAAUGCUUCUGGAGUAAGCAGAGCAGUACCAAAUGGCUAAGGGCCCCUCUUGGAGGCUGGACCUAUAUCACAACAGUAUAUGCAUGUGAUACCUCCUAGUAUGGUGCUUAGGAGUCAGGCAGAUCUGGUUCUAACACAAACUCUGCCACCAACCAGCUGUGUGCCCUUGGUCCAGUAAGUUAACUUCUGUUUCUCCAUUUCCCCUUUGGAAUUUUAACAAUAUCAAAAUACUACCUAUUAUAUUAUACAACAA